ensembl:snRNA Gm23022 predicted gene, 23022
UGCGAUUCUGCCUUUUUGCUAAGAUCAAGUGCAGUAUGUGUUCUAAUCAGGUUAAUACCUAACAUACCCUAAGGACUCUACAAUAGGUAUAUUUUUUUUGGAGCUUAGAGAAUUGAUGGUAACUUGCUUUGACCAUUUCAUAAAUAGACCUAGUAUUGCAUUUCCUCCAGGAAAUCCCAA